rnacentral:rRNA from 1 species
GAGCGGGGGAGAUUGCUUCGGUAACUGACCUAGCGGCGGACGGGUGAGUAAUACUUAGGAAUCUGCCUAUUAAUGGGGGACAACAUCUCGAAAGGGAUGCUAAUACCGCAUACGCCCUACGGGGGAAAGCAGGGGAUCACUUGUGACCUUGCGUUAAUAGAUGAGCCUAAGUCGGAUUAGCUAGUUGGUGGGGUAAAGGCCUACCAAGGCGACGAUCUGUAGCGGGUCUGAGAGGAUGAUCCGCCACACUGGGACUGAGACACGGCCCAGACUCCUACGGGAGGCAGCAGUGGGGAAUAUUGGACAAUGGGGGGAACCCUGAUCCAGCCAUGCCGCGUGUGUGAAGAAGGCCUUAUGGUUGUAAAGCACUUUAAGCGAGGAGGAGGCUCUUGUAGUUAAUACCUACGAUGAGUGGACGUUACUCGCAGAAUAAGCACCGGCUAACUCUGUGCCAGCAGCCGCGGUAAUACAGAGGGUGCGAGCGUUAAUCGGAUUUACUGGGCGUAAAGCGUGCGUAGGCGGCUUUUUAAGUCGGAUGUGAAAUCCCCGAGCUUAACUUGGGAAUUGCAUUCGAUACUGGGAAGCUAGAGUAUGGGAGAGGAUGGUAGAAUUCCAGGUGUAGCGGUGAAAUGCGUAGAGAUCUGGAGGAAUACCGAUGGCGAAGGCAGCCAUCUGGCCUAAUACUGACGCUGAGGUACGAAAGCAUGGGGAGCAAACAGGAUUAGAUACCCUGGUAGUCCAUGCCGUAAACGAUGUCUACUAGCCGUUGGGGCCUUUGAGGCUUUAGUGGCGCAGCUAACGCGAUAAGUAGACCGCCUGGGGAGUACGGUCGCAAGACUAAAACUCAAAUGAAUUGACGGGGGCCCGCACAAGCGGUGGAGCAUGUGGUUUAAUUCGAUGCAACGCGAAGAACCUUACCUGGUCUUGACAUAGUAAGAACUUUCCAGAGAUGGAUUGGUGCCUUCGGGAACUUACAUACAGGUGCUGCAUGGCUGUCGUCAGCUCGUGUCGUGAGAUGUUGGGUUAAGUCCCGCAACGAGCGCAACCCUUUUCCUUAUUUGCCAGCACUUCGGGUGGGAACUUUAAGGAUACUGCCAGUGACAAACUGGAGGAAGGCGGG